UGUUCCCAGACAUGGCCCCAGGAAGACAAGAUGAGGGUGGUUGUAAAACUGACCAUGUCUACUGUGAACUCAAGGUGUAAAAUUUCAGAAUAUAAGCUACAUCUCACGGCAAGACACUCUUCAAAAAGCUGUUUUACA